GAUGAACGCUGGCGGCGUGCCUAAUACAUGCAAGUCGAGCGAACAGACGAGGAGCUUGCUCCUCUGACGUUAGCGGCGGACGGGUGAGUAACACGUGGAUAACCUACCUAUAAGACUGGGAUAACUUCGGGAAACCGGAGCUAAUACCGGAUAAUAUAUUGAACCGCAUGGUUCAAUAGUGAAAGACGGUUUUGCUGUCACUUAUAGAUGGAUCCGCGCCGCAUUAGCUAGUUGGUAAGGUAACGGCUUACCAAGGCAACGAUGCGUAGCCGACCUGAGAGGGUGAUCGGCCAAACUGGAACUGAGACACGGUCCAGACUCCUAAGGGAGGCAGCAGUAGGGAAUCUUCCGCAAUGGGCGAAAGCCUGACGGAGCAAAGCCGCGUGAGGGAAGAAGGUCUUCGGAUCGUAAAACUCUGUUAUUAGGGAAGAAAAAAUGUGUAAGUAACUAUGCACGUCUUGACGGUACCUAAUCAGAAAGCCACGGCUAACUACGUG
rnacentral:rRNA from 1 species